GGUUCGAUUAUAGCUCCAGAUUGAACGCUGGCGGGAUGCUUUACGCGCAGUCGAGCGGCCUGGACUUCGGUCUGGUGGCGAGUGGCGAACAGGUGAGUAAUGUAUCGGAACGUGCCUAGUGGCAGAGGAUAACUGCUGCGGCGCGCUAAUACAUACGCCCUUCGGGGAAAGCUGGAGACCAUGCAGACUCGCACUAAUGAAGCGGCCGAUAUCGGUUCAGCUGAUUGGUGGGGUAACGGCUCACCAAGGCGACGAUCCGUAGCUGGUUUGAAGGACGACCAGCCACACUGGGACUGAGACACGGCCCAGACUCCUACGGGAGGCAGCAAUUAGGGAAUUUUGGACAAUGGGGAAACCCUGAUCCAGCCAUCCCGCGUGUGCGAUGAAGGCCUUCAGGUUGUAAAGCACGCGGCGGAAAGCGGCACGGGAUAAUACCCGGUACAACUGACAUUACCUGCAGAAUAGCUUUCCUUCUGCAAAUUACCGGCAACCACGAUGAUACGUAAGUGCAAGCGUUAAUCUCUGGGCCACUGAGCAGCAUGCGCAGGCGGUUCAGGAAGAGAUGUGAAAUCCCAGAGCUUAACUUUGGAACUGCAUUUUUAACUACCGAGCUAGAGUGUGUCAGAGGGAGGUGGAAUUCCGCGUGUAGCAGUGAAAUGCGUAGAUAUGCGGAGGAACACCGAUGGCGACAGCCUCCUGGGAUAACACUGACGCUCAUGCACGAAAGCGAUGUAAGGAGCAAGCAAGUUAGGUAUGGUGAUCCACGCCCUAAACGAUGUCAGCUAGCUGUUGGGCAUUGGGCGCUGGUAGCACAGCUAACGCGUGAAGUUGACCGCCUGGGGAAGUACGGUCGCAAGAUUAAAACUCGAGGAAUUGACGGGGAUACGCACAAGCGGUGGAUGAUGUGGAUUAAUUCGAUGCAACGCAAAAACCACCUACCCUUAGGCAUGUCUGGAAUCCCGAAGAGAUUUGGGAACGCCAUAGAGAACCGGAACACAGGUGCAUGGCUGUCGUCCAGCUCGUGUCGUGAAUGACUGAUUUAGUCUGCUGAGCGCAGCCUGUGUCGUGGUUGCUACGAAGGGCACUCUAAUGGGACUGCCGGUGACAAACCGGAGGAAGGUGGGGAUGACGUCAAGUCCUCAUGGCCCUUAUGGGUAGGGCUUCACACGUCAUACAAUGGUCGGGACAGAGGGUCGCCAUGCGAGAAGGCAAUCCCGAAGCCCGAUCGUAGUCCGGAUCGCAGUCUGCAACUCUCUCGGCUGCGUGAAAUCGAAUCUUCAUCAUCACGGGAUCAACAACUCGCGAGUGAAUACAUUCAGGUCUUACUUCACAUACGUCACCACCAUGUGAUCGGGUUUUGCACAAGUAGUUAGCCUAACCGUAAGGAGGGCGAUUACCACGGUAGUUGCGGCGCGGGAACGAGUGGCAACAAGGUAA
rnacentral:rRNA from 1 species